AUUCAGCUGAAGAGUCGCAAAGAGGACGAAACGUGCGUCCUGGAU
rnacentral:hammerhead_ribozyme from 1 species